AACGGCCUCCCAGGCCGCGGGGCCGAGCGGCCGGCGCCGGGCGACUGCGCCCGCGAGUGGGACCGCGGCCUGGACCCCGGGGACGAGCCCGACGUCUCCCUUCAGGAGCGCUCCUCGCUCUGUCUCUCGGACUUCCUCCCUCCCUCGCCCUCCCCGGCCGCCCUCCUCGCUCCCUCCCUCCCUCCCUCCCCCCCCACCCCGCCCUGCCCCCUCCUCGCUCCGCGCCGCCGCGCUCACUCCUCCCCCUCCCGACCUGGCGGCCGCCUCCCUCUCUUAUCUCGCUCCCCGCUCUCCAGGGUCUCCUCGCUCUUCAUUCCUCUCGCGGCCUCCUCCCCUUUCCCUCACUCACCCUCUUUCCAAUUGAGGGAUCACAGACUCACUCCGGUUCUGCCAGGGGGACGACCCCCACCCCUCGCAAAACUCGACCACCUCUGACUUCAUGAAAUAUUCUUUCUGUUUGCCCCCCGCAGCAAGCCCCGCGUCCCAUCCCAGGACCCAGCCCCGCCCCUCCGCGCCCCCUUCCUCCUCCUGGCCCGCCGGGCCGAGUGGUGCUGCUGCGGGUGCGGCUGCUCGGAGCCUCCCUGGCCGCCCUCCCCAGGGCCGAUACUGACUCCAUCUGUCAACUUCGUUUAGACUUUGCCGCCCUCAGCCACACGCCGGGGUGCCAGACGCCCAAAGGCCGGGUACACGCAGUGGCUGUAAACGGUGAAAAGGAGUGCUGUUUCCUUCAGUCACCAGAGUUAAUCCCAGGAUGCCUUCCAUAUAUGCCCGACAACAUAAUGUAUCACAAGAGCACGUGUCCUUUGAAAAUAUCUGCAGGGUGCUCAUCCAGGCCUUAAAAGUUGGCAGCAUCCCCCAGGAACUACCCUGUGAACAAAUCCAGGCUUUCGGAAGCACGUGAUUCUGCAGAAAUGCCACAUUCUCUUCCACAUGGGCUGUGGGCUCUGAGUCCCCCUUUGCUUCCUCGGCCUAUGUACCUGCUGAAGAAGACAGUUGUGUCGUGUACAUGCAACCUAAGGAGGUAACCUUUUACCCAGCCUGAGACUUCAGAGGGUAUUCAUAUUGGGGACCAGCAGCCCGUGAUGUUUGUCCCCCAGAGAGGGGGAGAGAGCUGCUGCCUGCAGAGUGGCUGCUCCUGCUUUGCACGGCCCCUGGCUUCUGCAUCCCUCCAUCCUCCAGCUGGGCACAGAGGUUGCCAAAAGGGCCAGUAGGAGGAGAAGGCUUCAUGGAGGACGGGGGCAAGAGCGGGCCGACCAUGCUGGCUUCCUCGCCUUGUGUCUGGCUGACUGCACAGGCCUGAGGAGGUAACCAACAGCAGAAACAGCUCUGGACAAAUGAGCAAAGGAAGACUCGACUGAGUUUCCCCAGAAUGGAGAGGAGCUGAGGAAGCUCCAGGGCCCACAGCGGAAGCUGGUGGACCAUUUCACUAGGACCCUGGGAGCAAAUCAGUCUGACUUGUGUUUGGCCCCUGAAUCCCCCUGCUCAAGGCUCAGAGUCCUGGAGAAUUGAGGGCAACCCCCACAUUGCAUGCCAUGGAUGGUGGCUUCCCCAGGGGAGUCGGGGUGCUAGGACUAGAGCAUGCCUCCUACAAAUGUUGACUUCCCCAGAAAAAUACCAGCUCUCUUAAGUAAGGGUGGGUCUAUCUGUGGGGAUGAUAGGGUCACCCUUAUUAUUCAUACGUUCCCUGGGCCUGAGAACUUACCUGGAAUACACUUUGUUAAAUAGUAAUAUUUAUUCUUAUUUGAGUUAUUUUUUUCAGGGCUUUUCUCUAGUUGCUGUAUUUAUCUUCUUUCAGUGUUUCCACAUUUAGCAUUAGUAUUCUCAUGUUAUAUUUGUAUGAACACAUAUACAUUUGUUCCCAUGCCUUGAGGCCCUUGGUGCUAAUUACAUUGAUAUUUUUAUGCUUUAUUUUUCUUUAUUUUUUUAGAGGCAGGAGUUUUUUCUCUGUCACCCAGGCUGGAGUGCAGUGGUACCACCAUAGCUCACUGCAUCUUGAACUCCUAGGCUCAAACGAUCCUCCCACCUCAGCCUCUCAAGUAGCUAGGACUGCAAGCACAAGCCGCCAUGCCUGGCUAAUUUUUUGUUGUUCUUGUUACUUUUUUGUAGAGAAGACAUCUCACUAUGUUGCCCAGGCUGGUCUCGAACUGCUAGUCUCAAAUGAUCUUCCUACCUUGGACUCCCAAAGUGCUGGGAGCACCCAGGCUAUUGCAUUUUUAGGUUAUAUCAACUCUGCUACCCUGAGAAUUGCCUUUAGACUUUGUUCUUAAAUAAACAAAGGACUGAGCUGAUCCUGUCAGCCCAGAGCAGCGGCCUGGGAGCCACCAUGCGACCCAGCCCUAAAUGCCUUGCUUAUGAUGAAAUCUCUUGAAAAUAGCCCAACUUCUGUCUCCUGCCUGUGAAGCUGUGUGUAAGUUGGCAAAUGACAGGAAGAGCAUGUGCUUCUAAUCACCCACCCAUCUUAAUAACGUCGAACAGAUACAGUGCAGAAACUAUUGCACAACCACCAGCAUUUCAUUACAUCAGAAUCCUUGCCAAUUUGAAAGAGGUCCUUGAAUCCAGGGAGAGUUACAUCUUUACGUUUUUGAUCACGAUCCUCUUGGAAGAUACUUAUUAGGGCCAUUUGUUGAUGACAAUAUUAAGAAUUAGCAAAUAUCUUCUUAAAUAUAACAAAAAUUGAAUUGUUUCAUUAGAGAACUAUAAAGUCUGUUAUUUAAGAGGAAACUGUUGUGCUGUUCAAAAGCAGGAAAGAAUUGUUGAAGGACUCUUCCUGGUCUCCUUUCUAGAACUGAGGCAACUCAGCUAUUGUAGUCAAAAGAAUUUUUAAAAAAUUAGUAAAGAGAAAAGCAGAAUCUUCGUACA
rnacentral:lncRNA from 1 species